rnacentral:rRNA from 1 species
UACGGAGGGUGCAAGCGUUAUCCGGAAUCACUGGGCGUAAAGGGCACGUAGGCGGUUUGUUAAGUCUGAUGUUAAAGACUGGGGCUCAACCCCGGCAUGGCGUUGGAUACUGGCAGGCUUGACGGUUGGAGAGGCGAGUGGAAUUACCAGUGUAGCGGUGAAAUGCGUAGAUACUGGUAGGAACACCCAUUGCGAAGGCAGCUCGCUGGACAACACGUGACGCUGAGGCGCGAAAGUGUGGGGAGCAAACCGGAUUAGAUACCCGUGUA